rnacentral:rRNA from 1 species
CUCUGUAGAGACUGCCGGUGAUAAACCGGAGGAAGGUGGGGAUGACGUCAAGUCAGCAUGGCCUUUAUGUCUGGGGCUACACACGUGCUACAAUGGCCGGUACAAACCGUCGCAAAACCGUAAGGUCGAGCUAAUCGGAGAAAGCCGGUCUCAGUUCGGAUAGCAGGCUGCGAAGUCGCCUGCUUGAAGUUGGAAUCGCUAGUAAUCGCGGAUCAGCACGCCGCGGUGAAUACGUUCCCGGGCCUUGUACACACCGCCCGUCACAUCACGAAAGCCGGUUGUACUAGGGUCCCUACAUCAACCCGCAAGGGAGAGAGGCGCCUAAGGUAU